CUGGGGGUGCGUGAGGAAGAAAAGCACCAUGGGGGCCGGGCACGGUGGCUCACGCCUGUCAUCCCAGCACUUUGGGAGGCCGAGGCGGGCGGAUCACGAGGUCAGGAGAUCAAGACCAUCCUGGCCAACAUGGUGAAACCCCGUCUCUACUAAAAAUACAAGAAAAACAUUAGCCAGGCGUGGUGGCGGGCGCCUGUAAUCCCAGCUACUCGGGAGGCUGAGGCACGAGAAUGGCGUGAACCCCAGAGGUGGAGCUUGCAGUGAGCUGAGAUUGUGCCAUUACACUCCAGCCUGGGUGACAGAGCGAGACUCCGUCUUAAAAAAAAAAAAAAAAGAAAAGAAAAGCACCGUGUGGGCUCUCUCUCCGGGGCCCGUUGCCCCCACUGCCUGCCCCCGGCUCCCCACUAGGCAGGUCCCCUCGGCCCGGGACACGCGUCACUCACAGCGUCUGAGCUACACACGGAGCGGGGCCGCAACAGCAGCUCCUCCCUUCGGCCCAGAGGCCCAGCUCCGUGCCCCCUUCACCUUCACCUCGACCUCUGCCGGGAGGGAGACAGCGUCCGCAGAGACCGAGCCACUCCCAUUCCCACACCAGGUCGAACUUGAAAAGGGACGUCGCCCACCUGUACCGAGGAGUCGGCUCGCGCUACAUCAUGGGGUCAGGAGAAUCCUUCAUGCAGCUGCAGCAGCGUCUCCUGAGAGAGAAGGAGGCCAAGAUCAGGAAGGCGA
rnacentral:lncRNA from 1 species